rnacentral:lncRNA from 1 species
CUUGCUGGAUUAAGCUAGUUGUAGCAAGUGACUGCGAUUCCUUCUAAGUGAAACAAUGGUCUUGUAUGACCUUGGUGAAGUCUUCCUGUAAGUAUGCGCUCAUUGAUUUGCCACCUUAUAUUGCAGUUCUUAUCGAGUUCUAUGCACCCUGGUGCGGACACUGCAAGAAGCUAGCACCCAUCCUCGACGAGGCAGCUGCCACCCUUCAAAGCGAAGAGGACGUUGUGAUUGCCAAGAUAGUAAUAUUUGUUGCCCUCUCCGUCGUUCCAGUUCCAGCAACGAAAUACAACUUACCUAACCACUGUUUCUCAACCUUGUCCACAGGACGCUACCGCGAAUGACGUUCCCGGCGAGUUUGAUGUCCAGGGUUACCCCACCCUCUACUUCGUCACUCCUAGCGGGAAGAAGGUCUCGUAUGAGGGCGGCAGGACGGCCGACGAGAUUGUCGACUACAUCAAGAAGAACAAGGAGACUGCCGGGCAGGCGGCAGCGGCGGCGACCGAGAAGGCAGCUGAACCGGCUGCCACCGAGCCUCUGAAGGACGAGCUCUGAGCAUCAGUCUUGCUAGCAGCAGACAGGUAGAGGAGGGGGAAACAUGUUUUGGCAAGGCAGCUUCCAACGCCAGAUUUUGCGAGGGGGGGACGAGAGUUGGUUGUUGGUUGUGUUGGCCCCGGUUUUGCCUGAUACUGUUUCCCGUUGCGAGAAAUACUGUAACAAAUCCAUCAGUGGUGUACCUAGUUAAAUUAUCGAGAAGUGGCAUUAGAAAUGGUCUGUGGAGAGCUCUGGUAAUAAGCGGUGCUACUGUGCCUGGUAGAAUUAUCAUGCAUGUCAGCAUGUGUUACGCUUACUGUGUUUUUAGACGUUUUACAGGUUUCAGAUCACCAGUUGUGGAGACUAAUCUUCCUCUGACGGGUCGCCUGAAACAUGCACAAGGAAACAAGCAUAAGAUCCGGAAGAAAACCAG